UUUACUGAGCAAACGAAACGGAAUUCAAAAUUUUGUGUUGAGCUGAAGUAUUCUUUCUCAAUUUUCAAUUAUUAAUAAAAGCCCUCAAUUGGCAAACCGAUCUCUGCUUGAAUGCAUCACAAACAAUAGCCGCAAUGUUGGGGCAAUGUUGCAUGCAACCUCGCACAAUGCUCAUGUGACUUGUCAACGCUUCCAGCUGCAGCGGCAGCAACAACGACACGAAGCUCCUGCUGAAGAUUUGCAAGCACUUCACAGCUCCGUAUCACACACAGAUCAAAGCGGAGCUGCCGCAGCUGGUGUGGGAAUCAGUUGCGGUUGCAGUUGCAACUCUCGAGGCAGGCGCUAAACGGUGGCGGGAAUUUUCAUUGCACAUACGCCCCAUUGCCAGCCUCAGUGCCGGACACCGCCCGACAACGACCACGACGACAGACGACGGACGACGGACGAUCAAUCUAUCGGUUCGUCGGUCGGUCGCCGUCGUCUUUGGCUCACUUGUUUGGCGCCUUGGAGCGUUUUGUAAGAACAUAAAUCCUUCAGCUGUUAGCAACACGGCCGACGCUGCCGCUGCCGCUGCCGCUGCUGUGGACAGCAUUUGAAUGCGCCUCCUGCCCUGUGCCAAAGCCAGAUCCAGUCGCAGUCGCAGUCGCAGUCCCGGUUUUAGCUGCCCAUGGCCCGGACACUUUUUUAUUGCCAUAAGUGGCAGGUAAUUAUGUCGCUUGCCUGAUAAAUUACAUUGUUGACAACGGCAGGCAGAGCUGCGAGUGCCGGAGGCAGCAAUUUUUGGACAUCAAAUCUCGCCAUUUAUGUCGGACACAUAUAAAUCCUAGACUUUCAUUUCUUUCCUCAAUUUCAUUUGACACACGAUUAUUUUGAGCCCUAGCGAGUGGGCUUGUUGUUUCUUUAAAGUAAAUUUCCGUAGUUUUCCGUUCUUCCAGCUAUUUGCCAAAAAUCAGAUAAAACAUAACUAAAGUAUGACAUAGAUCAGAAAUAUAUUUUAUAUUUUCCCCACACAAAUUAAGCACUGAAAAUAUUUAAUAAGAACUUUAUUGUAGGAGAGUAAGACAAGAAGCCUGGGAGGAAAUUAAGGAUAUGCGACUGAUAUUUAUUGAUAGCUAUCGAUUUUUGGGUAUUGAGUAAAGUUCCCGAAAGUAAAGCACAACUGUAUCUUUAAAUGAUAUAUGAAGUAUCCACCUUAAAUUUAAAUCGUCCAGCUCUUAAAGUCUUUCACAGAGUCGUUAGACAAAGAUAUGGAGAGAGUGAGAUAGAGAGAGGAAGAGGAAAAGAGCGAGAGGCUUAGCUGGCUUGACAGCCGAAAGUAUAUGUAUAUAUCUUGAUUCCUUAAAGGCUAGCCCUUAACCCACUUGAUAUAGCAAUGCAAAACAGCCGGCAAUUAGUUUUUGGCGACCUCGAAACAAGUAUUUAAAAUAAAGUGUCCAAAUAUUCGACCAACUCAUUCGAGUUGCUCGAAUGGCGACCACAAAUAAAGUCGCUCGUGAAGGUUUUCCAUCUGCACCCUCGCCGGGCUGCCAGCUGGACUGUGAGGGGGAAUACCAGGCGCUGGCGAUUGCAUGUCUGCGAUAAGGCGUGUGCCGCCGCAGCAGAGCUGGACAAGAUCAAUCGACUGGGCCUCGCGGGCCGAGUCGAGCCCAGCGGAAGAAGAGACUGAGCCAAGUGCGCCUGAUAUCUGUGAACACGGUAGCUAACAUGCUUAAGUUUAAUUAAUGAUAAGAAAUCUGUAUCUAAGGACGUCACCGCCACACGCUCCCGACACCGUAAUGAGCAGAUCUCUUCAUGGCCAGGAAUUCAGCUGGUAUUGAGCAGCCAAACAGGCGGCGAUGCUCGGCACAGAGCCAACCAGACCAGAUCAACUUUGCUCCGGCUCCGGCUCCAUCGGCAUCGGCAUCGGCAUCGGCAUCUCAAUAUCAUGUAGAUUUUUGCUAAUGUGCAGCCUGGCACCGACACCGGCGCAGCAGACGUGGCGCACAGAGUCAAUCUGCUGCUCUCAUACUCGCCAUUAAUUAGUUGAAUUUAUUAGAUGGGCAUCUCGACGGCAACGCGCACUCGUACCAUACGCCUGGGAAUUUUUUGAAUCCCUUGCAUUGCUCUUCGCACUAGGCAUAUGAAAAACAGAAUACAACAAAAAAAAAGUGCUACUACCCAAAACCGGAACGGACUAAAUGUACGCAUCUCCAUUCGGCAGACGGCAUUCGGUAUUCGGUAUCCAGUAUUCGGCAUGCCAUGAGAUCGGAGCCAGGUUGCGCAGUUUACGACGUGGCUUUGUUCAUGUUGCGGCCAUCGAAUGGCACCAAAUAUUUUAUCUGCUGUGGGGGAUUAGUCGGACUUCGGCUGCAUAUUAGGAGUAAUAAAUGGCCGUAUUUUGUGCCAUCCAAUCUGGCGCUUUAUGUGCGUGUAUUGACAUUCGAUUGCUUCACAGAUUGCCUUAUUAGCAAUUGAAUAAAUUCUAAAUAAUCGACACAUUAA